rnacentral:rRNA from 1 species
UGGGGAAUUUUGGACAAUGGGCGAAAGCCUGAUCCAGCAAUGCCGCGUGUGUGAAGAAGGCCUUCGGGUUGUAAAGCACUUUUGUCCGGAAAGAAAUCCUUGGCUCUAAUACAGUCGGGGGAUGACGGUACCGGAAGAAUAAGCACCGGCUAACUACGUGCCAGCAGCCGCGGUAAUACGUAGGGUGCAAGCGUUAAUCGGAAUUACUGGGCGUAAAGCGUGCGCAGGCGGUUUGCUAAGACCGAUGUGAAAUCCCCGGGCUCAACCUGGGAACUGCAUUGGUGACUGGCAGGCUAGAGUAUGGCAGAGGGGGGUAGAAUUCCACGUGUAGCAGUGAAAUGCGUAGAGAUGUGGAGGAAUACCGAUGGCGAAGGCAGCCCCCUGGGCCAAUACUGACGCUCAUGCACGAAAGCGUGGGGAGCAAAACAGGAUUAGAUACCCUGGUAGUCCACGCCCUAAAACGAUGUCAACUAGUGGUUGGGGAUUCAUUUCCUUAGUAACGUAGCUAACGCGUGAAGUUGACCGCCUGGGGAGUACGGUCGCAAGAUUAAAACUCAAAUGAAUUGACGGGGUCAUAGCUGUUUCCU